AGAACGGCAGCGUUAUUAGCUGACCCGUUGACUGAAGAAUAUAUCUUUAGUCGACGGCUGACCAUCGAAGGGCCUAGCCGCUUGACCCUGGAACCGGCAGGAAAGAUGAAGACAAGCACUCCGUGGUUUCUGCGCUCCAGGUCCACUACUGGGCGAAACUCGACUUCAAGGAGAGGACGAGGAGGUGGAGAAAGACAUGUAGAACAAGGAGGACGAGGUGGAUUUUUCGCGCAAGCCCUGAUUCGUUUUCAAGGUAUAACCCGAAGUGGUUAGUGGUGGUCGUUGGAGGUGGUUGGCGGCGGUUGCGGGUGAUCAAGGUGGACGAGGUGGAGGACGAGGACGAUGAGGACAACAAGGUGGACGAG
rnacentral:misc_RNA from 1 species